UACGUAGGGGGCGAGCGUUGUCCGGAUUUAUUGGGCGUAAAGAGCGUGUAGGCGGCCAGGUAGGUCUGCUGUGAAAACUCGAGGCUCAACCUCGAGACGUCGGCGGAAACCAUCUGGCUAGAGUCCGGAAGAGGAGAGUGGAAUUCCUGGUGUAGCGGUGAAAUGCGCAGAUAUCAGGAAGAACACCCGUGGCGAAGGCGGCUCUCUGGGACGGUACUGACGCUGAGACGCGAAAGCGUGGGGGAGCAAACAGG
rnacentral:rRNA from 1 species